AGACGAUGAGAGGAUAUCCAACGACCAGCCUGCCAAGAGGCCAACGCCCGCCACACGCUCCCACCCUGACCUCGGCGCCGCCCGGCCGACCCGAAUGGCGACUCUCUCCGCCCCCUUGCUCCGUUCCCACCACCGUCACCUCCCCGUCCGCUCCUCGCCGCGCCGCUGCCCUUCCGCCGCCUUCCCGCGCGGGUUCGCUCCCCUCGAACCCCUCUCCUCCCGCGGGCCCUCACGCACCGCCGUCCGCUCCGCCUCGACCUCGGCAGCGGCACCGGAGGCCGCCGAGGCAACGGGAGGCGCGGCCCCGAGCGAAACGGCAGCGGAGGAGGAGGUGGUGGAGGCGCGCGUCGUGCUCCCCACCAACGAGUCCUCCGAGAACCUGCUGCGCAUCCGCCACACCUGUGCCCAUGUCAUGGCGAUGGCCGUCCAGAAGCUGUUCCCCAACUCCAAAGUGACCAUAGGCCCCUGGAUAGACAAUGGCUUCUACUACGACUUCGACAUGGAGCCCCUCACGGAUAAGGACCUCAAGAAGAUCAAGAAGGAGAUGGACCGAAUCAUUCGCCGGAACCUUCCAUUGGUGAGGGAGGAGGUGUCCAGGGAAGAGGCUCAAAAGAGGAUCCAAGCGCUUAACGAGCCAUAUAAGCUGGAGAUUUUGGAGAGAAUUAAGGAAGAACCCAUCACAAUUUAUCACAUUGGAGAAGAGUGGUGGGAUCUGUGUGCUGGCCCUCAUGUUGAGUCCACUGGCAAGAUACAGAGAAAGGCUGUUGAGCUCGAGUCUGUUGCUGGUGCUUACUGGAGAGGUGAUGAGAAUAAUCAAAUGCUACAAAGGAUAUAUGGGACUGCAUGGGAGAGUGAAGAUCAAUUGAAGGCUUACAUCCACUUCAAGGAGGAGGCCAAGCGCAGAGACCAUCGGCGACUAGGUCAGGACCUUGAUCUGUUCUCUAUACAGGAAGAUGCUGGUGGGGGUUUAGUAUUCUGGCAUCCAAAAGGUGCUAUCAUCAGACACAUUUUAGAAGAUUCGUGGAAACAAACUCACCUGCAACGUGGUUAUGAUCUAUUGUACACUCCACAUGUUGCGAAGGCUGAUCUCUGGAAGAUCAGUGGACAUAUAGAUUUCUACAAAGAGAAUAUGUACAACCAAAUGGAUGUAGAAGAUGAGCCAUAUCAACUUCGGCCCAUGAAUUGCCCUUACCACAUCUUGGUAUACAAGAGAAAGCUACAAUCAUACAGGGAUUUACCCAUCAGAGUGGCAGAGCUUGGAACUGUCUACAGAUACGAGCUCUCUGGUGCUCUGCACGGGCUGUUCCGCGUAAGAGGGUUCACACAGGAUGAUGCCCACAUAUUUUGUCUCGAAGACCAGAUAAAAGAUGAAAUUAGAGGAGUUCUUGAUUUAACUGAAGAAAUACUGGGGCAGUUUGGCUUCCGGAAUUUUGAGGUAAACCUUUCAACCAGGCCAGAAAAAUCUGUUGGCAGUGAGGACAUAUGGGAAAAGGCAACAAUUGCUCUGAAAGACGCACUAGAUGAUAAAGGAUGGGGAUACACGGUUGAUGAAGGGGGAGGUGCUUUCUAUGGUCCAAAAAUUGAUUUGAAAAUUGAGGACGCUCUUGGAAGAAAAUGGCAAUGUUCCACCGUGCAGGUUGACUUCAAUUUGCCUGAACGGUUUGACAUCACUUAUAUUGACUCGCAUACUGAGAAGAAACGGCCUAUCAUGAUUCAUAGAGCCAUCCUUGGGUCUUUGGAGCGAUUUUUUGGCAUCCUCAUUGAAAACUACGCUGGUGAUUUUCCACUUUGGCUUGCUCCAACCCAAGCCCGUAUUCUGCCUGUCACAAACAAUGAGUUGCAGUACUGUAAUGAGGUGGCUUCAGAGCUGAAAUCGAGAGGUAUCCGCGCCGAGGUAUGCCACGGCGAACGUCUGCCGAAGUUAAUCAGAAACGCCGAAACACAAAAGGUGCCGCUCAUGGCGGUCGUUGGCCCCAAAGAAGUCGAGGCCAGGACGCUCACCAUCAGGUCCCGGCAUAACGGGGAGAUGGGCACCAUGCCCGUCGACGAUUUCAUCAGCAAAAUCCAAUCGGCCGUUGCUGACAAAUCUUCCCUGUAGAUAUCCCAGUCUGUUAAAACUUCAGUUCAUAUCGUAGAGCAGUAGAUCUUCUGCUGCACAUACACCGUACAGCGCCCACCGGAGUGCUUCCGACGAAACCGAGCGACGGAGGUCCAACAAUUUUGUGCAGAAUUGCCAUCACGACACACUAUAUAGUCAGCAACAGAAGCCCAGCAUUCUUGAUUGUACAUAGUUUGUGACCAGACCACAUUUCAGUGCAAGUUUUCAGCUAGACCUUCUUGCAGCUCCUUAUACAAUCACGUCGAUAAUAUUACAGAAAUGAUGCGACUGCAAUCUGCACUGCACCUGCACAUCAUUGGCAUUUCAUGAAUCUCCAGGCAGCGGUGAUCUUGAUUAGACGGGCGAAACCCAGCAGGAUGGAUGCGCGGGCGCAUUUGCCGCGACGUUUGCCUGGUCGGCAGACAAACUGUAAUGGCCACUUGCCGCUGCAGAGCGAGCAAUUGUGUGCGGUGCUGAGUCGUUAAGUCGUGCCGCCGAGAUGAAUUGGUCUGUCUGCGCCUGUGAGGCGGGGGGCCCCGACCCGAUUGAUUGGGGCGUCACUCGCUGCGGGUGGGAGGGCGUUGUGCGGAUCUAUGAUUGGAGCGUGAUGGACGGACCGAAUUUUACCGGGCAAGUCCGACAACACCUGGGACAAAAACCUGCAGGCUGGAGGACACUGGGAUAGGUAACUUCUCCACCCCAGUCCCAGAUCAGAUCUUCACUUACCCCGCGGCGUCCGUAAAAGAUCCAGCGGCAGCAUAAAAGUGGUGGGACCACGUAGCAGAGGAGCGCAUGCUCAUACACACAAGAAAUAACUCAAUUUUACAGAGCCGUCAUCUUCCUGGGUGGAAAAGAUGGAGAAACGUGAAUUACCUCUAGAGAUAAGAGGUAAAGCCUUUUCAGCUAUUUGUAAUUCGCGAUUUAAUCAUGAGGCGCUGCACUUCUAAUGUCAGGAUUGCUAAAGGGAAAAUUAAUUGCGUAAGAAAUGAAGAGACCGUAGAUCUUUAGACAGAAAGGCAUUCUUCCUUGUAGUAUUAAAUAAAUCAAAAGCCCACAUCGAAUUGAGCAAGUUUGCUUGGUUUGCCAGCUUACAAAUUAUGCGCGGCACCGUUUUUCGGUUGCAUUCACAGCAAUGCUUUUCUUUUUCUUUUUGAGAAACACAGCAAUGAUCCGUGAGAUACGGAAAAGAAAAAGGCCCAUUAAUCUGCACUAACUCGACUACAUCUUUUUUUUAGCAGGAACUCGGCUCUAUCUACGAGCAGGGGUUCUCAGUUCUCACACAUGAUCGACAAUAAAACGCCCCAACUAACGCUGGUGGUACAGUUGUACCAGCGCGCGCCGUGCCGUGCCGCGAGCGGGAGGGCUUCUUCCGUCGUGACCAUCACGUCGCCUCCACCACUCCCCUGGUCUCCUCCCUCCCUCCACCACCACCCUCGCCCGCAGAGGAAUUAAAACCUCCUUAUCCUCUCUGGCGCGCUGCUGCCAUUGCACCCCUAGCUGCCUGGAUCCAACCGUCCCGUCCCUCGCCCCUUCCCUCUCUGAUCCGUGCGCUCUCCUUUUGGAGCCUUGCGCCGCGCCCCUUUCUCCCUGUCCCAAUCCGCUUCGACGUCCCUCCUCUACCGGCGCGUUCUCUCCUUUUGGUGCCCCCCAGCGAGCGAGCUCUCGGUGCCCGUGCCACCGCCCCUUUUGCCACGCUCUCCUCUUUUUGUCUCCACCUUCUUGGCUAGCCGUUGAAGGGGCAGCCAUUGUUGCGCAGCCGGUGAGGUGAGCUGAGGAGGAUGUCGUCCGCGGUGGAAGCCAUCUCCUGCUCCAAGGUCGCCGACAUCGCCGCGGCCGGGCCUGCGGAGGCCAAGGAGUGCGCGGCGGCGGUGGCGGAGCACGGCAACGGCAACGGCGGGGCCGGGGACGCCGCGGCGACGAACGGGAAGAAGUGCGGCGGCGACGUCGCGGCGCCGCCGCAUUGCGGCAAGGGCGUGGAGGAGGAGGAGGACGAGGACGGCGAGAAGGUCCCCGAGCACAUCGACCUCGGCCCUAUCCUCAGCAUCAAGGACCAGCUCGAGAAGGACAAGGACGACGAGAGCCUGAGGAGGUGGAAGGAGCAGCUGCUCGGCAGCGUGGAUUUGAACUCCGUGGGAGAGACGCUGGAGCCGGACGUGAAGAUCAUGAGCCUGUCCAUCCAGUCCCCGGGGCGGCCGGACAUCUUCCUGCCGCUGCCGGUGGAGCCCACCAGCGGCAAGGGGGUGUGGUUCACCCUCAAGGAGGGCUCCCCGUACAAGCUCAAGUUCACCUUCUCCGUCAGCAACAACAUCGUCUCCGGCCUCCGCUACACCAACACCGUCUGGAAGACCGGCAUCAAAGUUGACAGCACAAAGGAGAUGCUGGGCACGUUCAGCCCGCAGCCGGAGCCGUACGCGUACGUGACGCCGGAGGAGACCACGCCGUCCGGGAUGUUUGCCCGGGGAUCCUACUCUGCCAAGACCAAGUUCCUGGACGACGACCGGAAGUGCUACCUGCAGAUCAACUACACCUUCGACAUACGCCGGGAGUGGCCGUCGUCAAGCUGAGCCUUCGUCCAGUCCGGUCCGCCGCCGUGUACAAGUGAGACGUGCCUGCCUGCCUGCCUUGGUUACUACUGCUGCCGUUGAAGCAGACUGGUCUUUGUUUCGUUUGCGUUUUACUACUACCUGUUUUUUCGUGGUUGCCCUUAGGGCUAUUGUCUCCUGUGCGUCUGUGUAAAUUUGGUUCGGUUGAUUGUACGUCGUAGAGGCCAUUCGUCUGUCCGCGUGUGUGUUUGAGCUUUGCCAGGGUCUGUUUUGAAGAACGAACUGUCAUGUUGAGUUCAUGUAUAAUGCACCAGAGCAACGCGGCUGCGCGCACUUCGUGUAAUGCUCAAGAAAGAAAGAAUAUCUGCCACUCACAUUCUGAAGGUUGGGAUUCAUC
rnacentral:rRNA from 1 species